rnacentral:misc_RNA from 1 species
UCACCGUAGGUGAACCUGCGGAGGGAUCAUUACAAGUGACCCCGGUCUUACCACCGGGAUGUUCAUAACCCUUUGUUGUCCGACUCUGUUGCCUCCGGGGCGACCCUGCCUUCGGGCGGGGGCUCCGGGUGGACACUUCAAACUCUUGCGUAACUUUGCAGUCUGAGUAAACUUAAUUAAUAAAUUAAAACUUUUAACAACGGAUCUCUUGGUUCUG